ACAACAUAAGCUCCAGCUUCAAGAAAAGACAAAACAAGCCUUCAGAUUAGCCUCAAGAACCAUUGCAGGCAUUUUUAUAACCACUGCUGUAUUUGGGUAAAUCAGAUUACCCUCUUUAUUAACAAUCAAUUUUUGGUGAAUCCAGUCUCGCCCAUGCAGUGUUGGUGGAAUGAUAAAUGGAACACUUCUGGAUCUGUUCAAGACAACAGCGCCUAUUGAUUCUUCUGGUUUAAAUGUGGAAACCAAACUUUGUAAGAGUAGUAAAUUUACUGUUCUUAUGUCACAAUAUUAAAAUUCUAUGGACAUGCAAAGGAUUGAUGAGCUUUUCGUAAGAAAAGAGGCGGAAAAAUUUUUUCCAGAGCAGAUACGCCGUUAUUCCAAGGAGAACAAAGAAAAGGAUUCCUCCUAUUAUACCUCCUGCCACAGCAACUGCUUGUUCUGUUCAAACAUAAAAGCACAUAUAACAUCACAGGAAGAGCAAAGUGUAUUUUGUGAGUAGACAGGAAUAUUAAAGCUAACAAAAACCAUUCCAAAAUUAUUUUUAAAUGAAGUAUUCGGCUCACGUGCACAUUUUUCUUGGUUAUAGCAUGGUGCAGCACCUGAAGACAUAUGACAAUGACAGUGACAGAUUACAGUUCAGAAGCACUGGCACUUACUGGAAUGUAAGAAACUACAGACAUGAAAAAAACCCAAGUGCCAAAGAAUUGUUCAGGCUCUUGUUUUGCAUUAGCAUUUACCUUAGCAUGGCAGAAGUGCUGGAGCUUGCAUAAUGGAAGAAAAAGAGAACCCAGGAACACCUAAUAUGAAAGUUUUGCAGGGCAUCCUCGAAUAUGUCUUCAGUCAGACUCACAUUUUAUUGCAUCCCAGAAGGCCAGAUGCAGAAAAAAUGCUUCCGUUUAAUCCCAUGAACAUAAUAGAAAUGAAUGAUUUCCUUCAUGUAGGUGCAUUAUAAACAACACAAAUAUCUAUUUGGCUGGUAGUUUUACUGUCUGACAUAAGUAUCUGAAAGGUUUACAUUUCAAGCAAGCUGUACAGGUCUUUGUUGAACUUGUCCUCUUCAUUCACAAGUCUUUUAUGCUCUCAGCAGCAGUCCUGUGUUUCUCUAUAGCCAGUUUGUCACCAUUUACCAUUAAAGACAGUAAGAUGAGGUGUGCAUUGGUUUUGGAAUAAGAGAAUGAGUUUCCAGCCUCUUAGUUUGUAUGUUCUGAAUUUGUUCACUGUAGAACAGUGAUGUUAAGAUUUUAAG